rnacentral:rRNA from 1 species
UCAAUGAAUUGACGGGGCCGCACAAGCGGUGGAGUAUGUGGUUUAAUUCGAUGCAACGCGAAAACCUUACCUGCCCUUGACAUCCUCGGAACUUGUCAGAGAUGACUUGGUGCCUUCGGGAACCGAGAGACAGGUGCUGCAUGGCUGUCGUCAGCCCGUGUCGUGAGAUGUUGGGUUAAGUCCCGUAACGAGCGCAACCCUUGUCCUUAGUUACCAGCACGUUAAGGUGGGCACUCUAAGGAGACUGCCGGUGACAAACCGGAGGAAGGUGGGGAUGACGUCAAGUCAUCAUGGCCCUUACGGCCUGGGCUACACACGUGCUACAAUGGUCGGUACAAAGGGUUGCCAAGCCGCGAGGUGGAGCUAAUCCCAUAAAACCGAUCGUAGUCCGGAUCGCAGUCUGCAACUCGACUGCGUGAAGUCGGAAUCGCUAGUAAUCGUGAAUCAGAAUGUCACGGUGAAUACGUUCCCGGGCCUU